rnacentral:rRNA from 1 species
GACGAACGCUGGCGGCGUGCCUAAUACAUGCAAGUAGGACGCUGAAGGAGGAGCUUGCUUCUCUGGAUGAGUUGCGAACGGGUGAGUAACGCGUAGGUAACCUGCCUGGUAGCGGGGGAUAACUAUUGGAAACGAUAGCUAAUACCGCAUAAUAGUAGAUGUUGCAUGACAUUUGCUUAAAAGGUGCAAUUGCAUCACUACCAGAUGGACCUGCGUUGUAUUAGCUAGUUGGUGGGGUAACGGCUCACCAAGGCGACGAUACAUAGCCGACCUGAGAGGGUGAUCGGCCACACUGGGACGGAGACACGGCCCAGACUCCUACGGGAGGCAGCAGUAGGGAAUCUUCGGCAAUGGACGGAAGUCUGACCGAGCAACGCCGCGUGAGUGAAGAAGGUUUUCGGAUCGUAAAGCUCUGUUGUAAGAGAAGAACGAGUGUGAGAGUGGAAAGUUCACACUGUGACGGUAUCUUACCAGAAAGGGACGGCUAACUACGUG